CCCGAUGAUCGGUUUCUUCGAGAUUGGAAAGGGAGAGAGACAUUCAAGCGGAAUGGAGGUCCUCCAGUGGUGUUAGAUCCAAAUUUGCAUCAUGGCCGAUGACAGGGUGGGAUUAGUUUCCCUGAAGCUUUGAAUCCUGUUCUUAAUUUGUCUAGAGAGAGUGGUGAAAAGCGAAUCCACCGACCGAAAAGAGUUGGAGUGCAAGCGAGAGUUCCUUUCAUUCCAUGUCCAGUAGAUUGUUCAUUUCCAAGCUAAGAGGGGUUGAAUUCCACACUUUCUAGCGCUGAGGGACCAUAAAUCAAAGCUGAAAGGGCAGUCGUGGAAGAGAUGAUCGCGAGAUUCAGAGUGGGAAUUACAUAAGAGACAGAGCGGUGAAACCUGCAAUCCCCAACUGAUGAGCCUAUCUCUAGUGGGGCACCUGUUCUUGACAACCAACCAAGCUAAAAAACAGUGUCUAGGGAUCCCAUAUGAAGACCAUAUCGCAUUUGCCCAGUUUACUUCAUCAAUGUCUCCACAGAGGAGGAAGGCGCCAAUUUCCAUUGCUGCAGAUAGAAGCAACCGUAGCUUUAAGAGGGAUUCCCAGUCUUGACGAUGAGUGUUGGAGGAAAGUUGAUAAACUGCCAAAAGGAGUCCAAUUGUCAAACCAGAACCUGGCCGAUAGUCCAUCCUGCAGCUUUAGUUUGAUGAGUGGGAACACCACCUCCUUAAGCUUUAGAAGCUUGUUUGCUAGCCAAGAGUAGGAGCUGUUAGGUUGCAACCCAAAUAGAUCCUGCUCUAAAGAACAGCCUCCAAAUCAGCUUCAGACAACAAGCUUUGUUCCAAGUGUGCAGAUCCCUUAUCCCCAAUCCACCCUGAUUCUUUAUAAACGCAGAGCACCAGAAAGUAGUGAUACCCGAGAUCACUGUUUUUAUUAGGAGGAGUCUACCCGAGAAAGAUAGUGACUUCACAGACCAAGAAGAGAGCCUUGUCUUAAUUUGAUGAAUGAGAGGUUCACAGCUGGUGAGAUUUAACUUUCUGGAGCUUAAAGGCAUUCCUAAGUGAAAUGGACUUUUCAAAGGUCCAAUAAUAAA